AACGAACGCUGGCGGCAUGCCUAACACAUGCAAGUCGAACGAGACCUUCGGGUCUAGUGGCGCACGGGUGCGUAACGCGUGGGAACCUGCCCUUAGGUUCGGAAUAACUCCCCGAAAGGGGUGCUAAUACCGGUUAAUUUCUUCGGCCCAAAGAUUUAUCGCCUUUGGAUGGGCCCGCUUUGGAUUAGCUAGUUGGUAGGGUAAAAGCAUACCAAGGCGACGAUCCAUAGCUGGUCUGAGAGGAUGAUCAGCCACACUGGGACUGAGACACGGCCCAGACUCCUACGGGAGGCAGCAGUGGGGAAUAUUGGACAAUGGGCGAAAGCCUGAUCCAGCAAUGCCGCGUGAGUGAUGAAGGCCUUAGGGUUGUAAAGCUCUUUUAGCCGGGAUGAUAAUGACAGUACCGGGAGAAUAAGCUCCGGCUAACUCCGUG
rnacentral:rRNA from 1 species